GAUGAACGCUGGCGGCGUGCCUAACACAUGCAAGUCGAACGGAGUCCAGCCUUUAAGACCUUCGGGUCAAAGAGGGGAAGACUGAGUGGCGGACGGGUGAGUAACACGUGGGCAACCUGGCUCAUAGAGGGGGAUAACAGAGAGAAAUUUCUGCUAAUACCGCAUAAGCACACACUGCCGCAUGGCAGAGGGUGAAAAGAGAAUCGCUAUGAGAUGGACCCGCGUCUGAUUAGCCAGUUGGCAGGGUAAGAGCCUACCAAAGCGACGAUCAGUAGCCGAUCUGAGAGGAUGACCGGCCACAUUGGGACUGGGACCCGGCCCGAACUCCUACGGGAGGCAGCAGUGGGGGAUAUUGCACAAUGGGGGGAACCCUGAUGCAGCGACGCCGCGUGAGUGAAGAAGUAUUUCGGUAUGUAAAGCUCUAUCAGCAGGGAAGAUAAUGACAGUACCUGAAUAAGAAGCCCCGGCUAACUACGUG
rnacentral:rRNA from 1 species